AUGCAAAGUGGAAGUACUGUAUCACUGUGGUGGACUUUUGGUGGAGGAUCCAAACUGUUUGUGAACACUGGUCCCAAACCUCCAUCCGUGUCUCUGCUCCCUCCGUCCCCUGUGCAGCUGUCUGAAGGUUCGGCCUCGCUGCUCUGCCUGCUGUCUGGAUACUCUCCACAGGGGGCGCUGGUGAGCUGGACUGUAGAUGGUUCAGAGGUGAAGGACGGGGUUCUGACCAGCUCAGAAGAAGAGAAGAAGGAAGGUUACAGCCGCAGCAGCACCCUGACCCUUAGCAAAGACCUCUGGGAAAAGGGGGAGGAGUUUAUCUGUAAAGUCUCCCAUAGCAACAUCAAUCAUCCCGUCACCUUCAGAAAGAGUCACUGUGAUGUCUAAUGGGUCCAAGAUGGAGUUUAACAUGGAGCUGCUUCUCAUCCACCUGCAAUAGUUUAAAUUCUACACAAUGAGAAUAUUUCUGUCUUUACUCUGUUCACUGUUUUGUUCAUAUUCUUGUAGUUUUUGCUGAAAUAAAGCUGAAUUUGGGA